GUCUACGGCCAUACCACCCUGAAAGCGCCCGAUCUCGUCUGAUCUCGGAAGAUAAGCAGGGACGGGCUUGGUUAGUACCUGGAUGGGAGACCGCCUGGGAAUACCAGGUGUUGUAGGCU
rnacentral:rRNA from 1 species